rnacentral:rRNA from 1 species
CCUACGGGAGGCAGCAGUGGGGAAUAUUGCGCAAUGGGCGAAAGCCUGACGCAGCGACGCCGCGUGAGGGAUGAAGGUCUUCGGAUCGUAAACCUCUGUCAGCAGGGAAGAACGGUCACUGGGCUAAGCAGCAGUGAAUUGACGGUACCGGCAAAGGAAGCACCGGCUAACGCCGUGCCAGCAGCCGCGGUAAGACGGAGGGUGCGAGCGUUAAUCGGAAUUACGGGGUGUAAAGGGUGCGUAGGCGGCCCUGCAAGUCAGAAGUGCAAUCCAUGGGCUUAACCCGUGAACUGCUUUUGACACUGUCGGGCUUGAGUGCAGUAGCGGCAGGCGGAAUUCCCGGUGUAGCGGU